GACGAACGCUGGCGGCGUGCUUAACACAUGCAAGUCGAACGAAGAGCGAUGGACGCUUGCUUCUAUCAAUCUUAGUGGCGAACGGGUGAGUAACGCGUAAUCAACCUGCCCUUCAGAGGGGGACAACAGUUGGAAACGACUGCUAAUACCGCAUACGAUCUAAUCUCGGCAUCGAGGAUAGAUGAAAGGUGGCCUCUACAUGUAAGCUAUCACUGAAGGAGGGGAUUGCGUCUGAUUAGCUAGUUGGAGGGGUAACGGCCCACCAAGGCGAUGAUCAGUAGCCGGUCUGAGAGGAUGAACGGCCACAUUGGGACUGAGACACGGCCCAGACUCCUACGGGAGGCAGCAGUGGGGAAUCUUCCGCAAUGGACGAAAGUCUGACGGAGCAACGCCGCGUGAGUGAUGACGGCCUUCGGGUUGUAAAGCUCUGUUAAUCGGGACGAAAGGCCUUCUUGCGAACAGUUAGAAGGAUUGACGGUACCGGAAUAGAAAGCCACGGCUAACUACGUG
rnacentral:rRNA from 1 species